rnacentral:rRNA from 1 species
UGCGGUAGGGGAGAUUGGAAUUCGUGGUGUAGCGGUGGAAUGCGCAGAUAUCAGGAGGAACACCGAUGGCGAAGGCAGCUCCCCUGGGCCGUAACUGACGCUGAGGAGCGAAAGGGUGGGGAGCAAACAGGCUUAGAUACCCUGGUAGUCCACCCCGUAAACGUUGGGAACUAGUUGUGGGGUCCAUUCCACGGAUUCCGUGACGCAGCUAACGCAUUAAGUUCCCCGCCUGGGGAGUACGGCCGCAAGGCUAAAACUCAAAGGAAUUGACGGGGACCCGCACAAGCGGCGGAGCAUGCGGAUUAAUUCGAUGCAACGCGAAGAACCUUACCAAGGCUUGACAUAUACGAGAACGGGCCAGAAAUGGUCAACUCUUUGGACACUCGUAAACAGGUGGUGCAUGGUUGUCGUCAGCUCGUGUCGUGAGAUGUUGGGUUAAGUCCCGCAACGAGCGCAACCCUCGUUCUAUGUUGCCAGCACGUAAUGGUGGGAACUCAUGGAAUACUGCCGGGGUCAACUCGGAGGAAGGUGGGGAUGACGUCAAAUCAUCAUGCCCCUUAUGUCUUGGGCUUCACGCAUGCUACAAUGGCCGGUACAAAGGGCAGCAAUACCGUGAGGUGGAGCGAAUCCCAAAAAGCCGGUCCCAGUUCGGAUUGAGGUCUGCAACUCGACCUCAUGAAGUCGGAGUCGCUAGUAAUCGCAGAUCAGCAACGCUGCGGUGAAUACGUUCCCGGGUCUUGUACACACCGCCCGUCAAGUCAUGAAAGUCGGUAACACCUGAAGCCGGGGCCCAACCCUUGUGGAGGGAGCCGUCGA